GUCCCAGACUCCUACGGGAGGCAGCAGUGGGGAAUAUUGCACAAUGGGGGAAACCCUGAUGCAGCGACGCCGCGUGAGCGAUGAAGUAUUUCGGUAUGUAAAGCUCUAUCAGCAGGGAAGAAAAUGACGGUACCUGACUAAGAAGCCCCGGCUAACUACGUGCCAGCAGCCGCGGUAAUACGUAGGGGGCGAGCGUUAUCCGGAUUUACUGGGUGUAAAGGGGGCGUAGACGGCGGCGCAAGUCCGGAGUGAAAGCCCACGGCCCAACCGUGGGACUGCUCUGGAAACUGUGCGGCUUGAGUGCGGGAGGGGCAGGCGGAAUUCCUGGUGUAGCGGUGAAAUGCGUAGAUAUCAGGAGGAACACCGGUGGCGAAGGCGGCCUGCUGGACUGCGACUGACGUUGAGGCCCGAAAGCGUGGGGAGCAAACAGGAUUAGAUACCCUCGUAUCA
rnacentral:rRNA from 1 species